UAAGACGUACCACCCAAACGUUAUUCGGAAUCACUGGGCUUAAAGGGUCCGUAGGCGGCGAAGAAAGUUGGGUGUGAAAUACCUCAGCUCAACUGAGGAAUUGCGCUCAAAACUACUUUGCUCGAGAAAGACAGAGGUGAGCGGAACUGAUGGUGGAGCGGUGAAAUGCAUUGAUAUCAUCAGGAACACCGGUGGCGAAAGCGGCUCACUGGGUCUUUUCUGACGCUGAUGGACGAAAGCUAGGGGAGCGAACGGGAUUAGAUACCCCGGUAGUCCUAGCCUUAAACGAUGAGCACUAGAUCGAGGGGACCCUCACAUCCUCUUGGUCGUAGGGAAACUGUUAAGUGCUCCGCCUGGGGAGUAUGGUCGCAAGGCUG
rnacentral:rRNA from 1 species